rnacentral:rRNA from 1 species
UGAGGAAUAUUGGGCAAUGCCCGCAAGGGUGACCCAGCAACGCCGCGUGGAGGAUGAAUGUCGUAAGAUUGUAAACUCCUGUUAGAGGGGAAGAAUAGUACCGGUUGGACCGGUAUAUGACUGCACCCUCAGAGAAAGCCCCGGCUAACUACGUGCCAGCAGCCGCGGUAAUACGUAGGGGGCAAGCGUUGUCCGGAUUUACUGGGUGUAAAGGGCGCGCAGGCGGGAUAAAAAGUCAGUGGUGAAAUCCUACAGCUUAACUGUAGAACUGCCUUUGAUACUUUUAUUCUUGAGUUCGGGAGAGAGAGACGGAAUUCCAGGUGUAGUGGUGAAAUACGUAGAUAUCUGGAAGAACACCAGCUGCGAAGGCGGUCUCUUGGUCCGACACUGACGCUGAGGCGCGAAAGCGUGGGGAGCAAACA